CCCCCUAUGUACUGUGACAUUUGUCACAUACAUCUGUGUGUAGCCUGCGUUGGAAAACAUCUCUUAGAUGAAUCCAAAGAACACAAAGUAGUGCCAUUUAAGAAGAGGGGACUCAAUCCUAAAUGUUCCAAACAUUCCACACAAUUAUGUGACCUUCAUUGUGAACAAUGUAACAUUCCUAUUUGUGUUGAGUGUGUCUCCUCAGGUGAACAUAUAGGACACAAGCAAGUGGGCAUUUUAAAAACACUAGAUACUAAGAGAGAAGCCUUAAAAAAAGAUCUACAAGAAUUAGAAAAUACCAUUUAUCCUAAAUACCAAGAGAUUGUAUUUAACAUCCCAGUUCAGAAAGCUGAUUUGAAUAAAAACUCCAAGAAACUAACAACAGCUCUUGACAAACAUGGAGAAGACUUGCACAGAGAAAUAGACAUUGCCAUCAAGAAACUGAAAUCUGACGUGGAUGAAAUGGAAUCAAAACACCUGGUUGUCCUGAAUAAGCAGGAAAAUGAAAUACAACGCAGUAUUUCUGAAAUCACACAGAGCAUUGCUGAUCUAAAGAAAUUACUAAACUCCUAUGAUGUCAGCCUUGUCUCUGCCUACAAAUCCAGGAUUGCUGAAUUCAGAAGAUUGCCUCCUAAACUCUCAGUUUCUUUACCAAGAUUCACCCCUCAAAAGAUUAACAAAGAACAAAUUUAUCAGCAGAUUGGUUCUCUGUCAACAUUAUCUAUCAAAACAGAAGAACAUGGCUACACAAUGGAUUCUCCUGGUGCUGAGUCCUCUCCCCCUGACAGACCACUCAUUGAUGUACCACAGAUCAUCACAGAUAUAAACACAGAGUAUGGAGAAUCUAAUAGAUUACGCAGUGUAUCCUGUCUGAGUGAUAAUGAAGUAUGGACGUGUGGUAAUGACAACAUGAUGAGACUCUACAACCUCAACGGUAAACUAGUGAAGUCAAUCCAAACCAAGUCAGGGAACAUGCCAUGUGAUAUAGCAGUGACACAGAGGGGUGAACUAGUUUAUACUGAUCCCAUUGAUAGAACUGUGAACAUAGUGAAGAAUACACAGAUACAGACAGUGAUCAGACUACAGGGGUGGAGACCUUUCAAUGUCUGUAGUACCUCCUCUGGUGACCCCCUGGUUGUCAUGAUCACUGAUGAUAAGAAACAAGCAAAAGUUGUGCGUUAUUCUGGCUCCACAGAGAAACAAACGAUUCAAUACAAUGACAAAGGACAACCUAUCUAUUCAUCUGAUCAUGAAUACUCUAAAUUCAUCAGUGAGAACAAGAACCUAGAUAUCUGUGUAGCUGACACUAAAGCCAGUGCAGUAGUGGUGGUCAAUCAGGCUGGGAAACUCCGAUUUACUUACACUGGUCCUCCCUCUACUACCAAGGUACCAUUCAGACCAGUCGGCAUCACUACAGACAGCCAGAGUCGGAUCCUGACAGCAGACUAUACAAACCACUGUAUCCACAUCCUGGAUCAGGACGGACAGUUCCUCCGCUACAUUGACAACUGUCAUUUAGAAUAUCCAUAUGGUUUAUGUGUGGACACCAGAGACAACCUCUUUGUGGCUGAAUACUUCACAAGUAAAGUGAAGAAAAUCCAGUGUUACAUGUAAACAAACUGUGAUCAUAAUAAUUAUUACAUGUCUACAAAGUGAACAUCAAAUGUCAGUAAAUAAACUGAUUGUGUUUAAAUAUUAUAAUACAUCACCAAACUAUCUAGAACUAUAUAAAAUCCAUGUUUUAGCAAACUGUGAUCGUUUUAUAUGUUGUGUUUCAUCAAACUGCGGUGACUGUCACAAUUCAGAGACUGUGUAUUGUUCGUGUACAUAUGAUUACUUACUAUCUGUAUAUUUUACAUGUAAAUAAACUGGUUUUAUAUGUAAAUAAAUGUAAAUAUUCAG
rnacentral:misc_RNA from 1 species